CCAGACUCCUACGGGAGGCAGCAGUGGGGAAUAUUGCACAAUGGGGGAAGCCCUGAUGCAGCGACGCCGCGUGAGUGAAGAAGUAUUUCGGUAUGUAAAGCUCUAUCAGCAGGGAAGAAAAUGACGGUACCUGACUAAGAAGCCCCGGCUAAAUACGUGCCAGCAGCCGCGGUAAUACGUAUGGGGCAAGCGUUAUCCGGAUUUACUGGGUGUAAAGGGAGCGCAGGCGGCCUGCCAAGUCUGGUGUGAAAACCCGGGGCCCAACCCCGGGCCUGCAUUGGAAACUGGCGGGCUGGAGUGUCGGAGGGGCAGGCGGAAUUCCUAGUGUAGCGGUGAAAUGCGUAGAUAUUAGGAGGAACACCGGUGGCGAAGGCGGCCUGCUGGACGAUGACUGACGCUGAGGCUCGAAAGCGUGGGGAGCAACCAGGAUUAGAUACCCGCGUACG
rnacentral:rRNA from 1 species